rnacentral:tRNA from 2 species
GUAGAGCCAUUUGGUAGCUCUCAAAGCGCAUAACCUUGGGGUUACGGGUUCGAU